rnacentral:rRNA from 1 species
AACGAACGCUGGCGGCAUGCCUAACACAUGCAAGUCGAACGAGACCUUCGUGUCUAGUGGCGCACGGGUGCGUAACGCGUGGGAACCUGCCCUUAGGUUCGGAAUAACUCCCCGAAAGGGGUGCUAAUACCGGAUAAUGUCUUCGGACCAAAGAUUUAUCGCCGUUGGAUGGGCCCGCGUUGGCUUAGCUAGUUGGUAGGGUAAAAGCCUACCAAGGCGACGAUCCAUAGCUGGUCUGAGAGGAUGAUCAGCCACACUGGGACUGAGACACGGCCCAGACUCAUACGGGAGGGAGGAGUGGGGAAUAUUGGAAAAGGGGCGAAGGCCUGAUACAGCAAUGCCGGGUGAGUGAUGAAGGCCUUAGGGUUGUAAAGCUCUUUUACCCGGGAUGAUAAUGACGGUACCGGGAGAAUAAGCACCGGCUAACUACGUG